GUUUACAACUCCCAAACCCAUGUGAACAUACCUACUGUUGCUUCGGCGGGAUUGCCCCGGGCGCCUCGUGUGCCCCGGAUCAGGCGCCCGCCUAGGAAACUUAAUUCUUGUUUUAUUUUGGAAUCUUCUGAGUAGUUUUUACAAAUAAAUAAAAACUUUCAACAACGGAUCUCUUGGUUCUGGCAUCGAUGAAGAACGCAGCGAAAUGCGAUAAGUAAUGUGAAUUGCAGAAUUCAGUGAAUCAUCGAAUCUUUGAACGCACAUUGCGCCCGCCAGUAUUCUGGCGGGCAUGCCUGUCUGAGCGUCAUUUCAACCCUCAUGCCCCUAGGGCGUGGUGUUGGGGAUCGGCCAAAGCCCGCGAGGGACGGCCGGCCCCUAAAUCUAGUGGCGGACCCGUCGUGGCCUCCUCUGCGAAGUAGUGAUAUUCCGCAUCGGAGAGCGACGAGCCCCUGCCGUUAAACCCCCAACUUUCCAAGGUUGACCUCAGAUCAGGUAGGAAUACCCGCUGAACUUA
rnacentral:rRNA from 1 species